UCUUUAAAACGGCUCCAGGCACAGACUUCACAUCACAUCAGUCUUUGCUGGAGAGAGCACCAUGACGAGUAUCCCCCUCAUCUUGCUUGUAUUGGUAGCCGCGAUGGUGCCGACAGCCUCAGCCCAAGGUGGAAUCUCACACUGCUGUCUGAAAUUCACCGGCACAAAAAUUCAUCGAGAAUUGCUGACGAGCUACUACCAAGAAGAUAAAUCAUCAUGCAGACUACAAGCAAUUGUAUUCACAACAGUCAUGAGUAAAAGAAUCUGUGCCAGCCCCUUCAAUGCGUGGACAAAAACCAGCAUGGCCUUUCUGGACGGAAAAGCAUUUGCGCAAAAACAGUUAUCCUUAAAAAAUGGAAGAAAGGAACGUCACUGACACUGAUGCUUCUAAUUGAGACACAAGCCCUCAAUCUGUCAUCUUAAGCUGUUUGAGUUUAAUCAAAUUUAGACUUUAGAACGUACCUCAGCUUUAUAAAAAUUAAAAAUC